GACAAGAAAAACAGGGUUGAUCAUAGAAUUCUUGGUCAUCUUGGGGUUUUAUAAUUUUCUGGUGCACCUAUGAUUAAAUACAACCUAAUUUGAUUUUACCCACAAGUGCAGAUCUUACCCCGCAGUGCUCGAUCCAGAAAAUUGGUACUCAUAAUCAAUAAGAUUCGUACGGCUUAUUGGUAUCAAUUUUGGUUGCAACAAUGCUAUUCUUGCUGAAGACCCGCCAUAAAUUCAAAGCACGCAGAGAUCUUGAGUCAAAAACAGAGCAACUCUUGCACGGCGAAAUGACUCCCACCACCCAACAAAUGCAACUGCUACAAUUUCAAUUGCAGUUCUUGAAGAAAGGUAAAGCCUAUGUUCUAUACAAAGUCUUGAAUUUUUUUAUAUUGGGUUUCAGUUUUUUGUGCUCUUUUUUUUUUUUUUUUUCUCUCUGUUGAGAAUAUUAAUAUUGUUGAGUUAUUAAAUUCGACUAUUGCAUAUGUUAAAUUUUACUUCGAAUUGUAGUAAUUGUCAUACAAGUUUAUAUUUUUGUAUAGAAUUGCAGACAGUUUGAAUUUUGGAUGAGAGUUUAGAAUAUUUAUAAGUUGGUUCUGUUGUGGGAUCUCCAUAUAGCAAAUUUAUCCUAUUUUGUAUUUCAAAAAUUGAAGGUUAGAUUGUCUACUCUAGCUAUACAAUUCUUCCAUGUUUUUCAGAUCAUGGAAUGAGUUUCUCGUGCUGAGAUUGUAACCCAAUCAAUAAGUAGGUGAAACACAGAAGUUCUAUAUCACAUGUUAGUUUUGAUCCAUUUCUAAAAAUCCUAUGCAUGGUACAAGAAAAACAUUUCUUUGCUGCACAGAAGAGUGAAGUACUGAACAACAAUGUGAAAAGUUGGGACCUAGAAAACAAUAUAUUUUUAA